GUAAUUAACGGGAGCCUCCAGAGGCCGGGUUAUGAAAACAAGGCUCCACGUGCCUGUUCCAGAGGAACCCUGUACUCCUCGCAAACUCCUCCAGGCAAGGAAGAUAUUGCAGCUGCAAAGAGGAACAACGCAGGGCAGGGAAUGGCAAGCACCAAGACGUAAGGAGUCCAGCCAGCAAGGAUCUGGCAGGGUGAGAUGUUUGGGCCUCAGCUCUCUUCCCACAGUUCAUCUGCAAAGCAAACGCUGAAUCCAUUGCUAGAGGUACGCCUGGCGAGGGCAAGGAUCUGCGAACCGUGUUAUACCCAGCACAAAAUGUCCUUCAUCAUUUCAGAAGAGAGGAGUGCUGGACUUAGGAAAACACGGCGUGGUCAGAAAACAGACUGAUUCCCCUCUGUCUUCUUGGGCUUCACCACAAACCUCUCCCUAGCCUGAUUAAGUGUUGCCUAUCUUGAACCACCAUCCCAACCCAGGUACCAUGGACAUGAGAGGACUACAAAGCCGAGUGGCAUCCAGUUCAUUCCUUUACCUACGUUAACUCAUCAGAGUUGGCAUUUAGGUGCAUCAGUAAAGUCAUCACAGCAACUCUGUAUUCA
ensembl:lncRNA